CAGGGUCGUCUGUGCAGGCCCCUGGGGAGCAGCGGCACCGGGUGCGUGGAGACUCAUCGGCUCCAUGGCUGGUCCUUCCAGAACACACGGCCCUCUCAGCAGACAGGACCCUGAGCAAGACCGGUCCAUUAGGAAGACACUGAGGGCUAUAGAGCAGGAGCCUUGAAUGAUCCGCACCUUCCUAUCAGUCUUCCCUACCUCACGCGGCAGACCUGGGCCUGCACGGAGCCCCAGCCCAGCCCCAGCCGUUACCUGCUUCGUACAGUGAGCACUUCACACAGAGUCUGGUCCCAGGAAGUAUCCAGUGAACGCGGACUGAACACCGAGUGAGUGGUGAGCCGUCAGGAGGAGCAGAGGCCGUGAACCUCAUGCAGCUUUUUGACCUUGAAUAACUUGAAGUGGCUUCCUGGGUGUGCUUUGUCUCCAUCUUCUCCACAUCCACCUCCUGGUUGAAUGCCUGCUCCUUUCUAUUGGUUGUCACCUUGGACUGGAAGUCUGUCCUCUCCUACCACAGUGCAGUUGAGCAAAAGAGGUAACUGAGCCCAGUGUUUGCCAAAUUCCUAUCACGUGGUAACAGGUGGCCCGAAAAACAUUACUUUUAUGAAUGCGUUUGGGAAAACAGUGCCUUAGGUCCUUCUCUUGGAGAUUCAAAAUGCUCAGUCCCGUUUCUAAGGCUCUAAAAUGCCCUGUCCACCAGGUUAACCUGUGUAAUGAAAGGUUCUCCAAAUUAGUUCACCGCGAAGCCCUUCCAUUGUCAGGAAUGAAAGACAUCACUGAGUGAGUAGCACCGUGGACCUGGGCUUGCGCAGAACUAGGCUAGAAUCUGGGGUCUGUGUUCCACCAGCGACAGCCUCACCUCCUCGUGUCUUUCCUUAUGAAACAGGAUCUCAGCAGGGGACAUAAAAAGUAAGAGAAAACAUGAGAUCAUUUUGCUCGGCACCUGGUGUGUAUAAACUCAAAAAUGCCAUAUGUUUGGGGCG